rnacentral:tRNA from 1 species
UAACCCUACCCCCAGGGGAAGUCCAAUCCCCGCUGCCUCCUUGAAAGAGAAAUGACCUAA